AGCGAACGCUGGCGGCAGGCCUAACACAUGCAAGUCGAGCGCCGUAGCAAUACGGAGCGGCAGACGGGUGAGUAACGCGUGGGAACGUGCCCUUUGGUUCGGAAUAACUCAGGGAAACUUGAGCUAAUACCGGAUACGUCCGAAAGGAGAAAGAUUUAUCGCCGAAGGAUCGGCCCGCGUAAGAUUAGCUAGUUGGUGAGGUAACGGCUCACCAAGGCUAUGAUCUUUAGCUGGUCUGAGAGGACGAUCAGCCACACUGGGACUGAGACACGGCCCAGACUCCUACGGGAGGCAGCAGUGGGGAAUAUUGGACAAUGGGCGCAAGCCUGAUCCAGCCAUGCCGCGUGAGUGAUGAAGGCCUUAGGGUUGUAAAGCUCUUUUGGCAGGGACGAUAAUGACUGUACCUGCAGAAUAAGCCCCGGCCAACUUCGUGCCAGCAGCCGCGGUAAUACGAAGGGGGCUAGCGUUGCUCGGAAUCACUGGGCGUAAAGCGCACGUAGGCGGGUCGUUAAGUCGGGGGUGAAAUCCUGGAGCUCAACUCCAGAACUGCCUUCGAUACUGGCGAUCUUGGAGUCCGGGAGAGGUGGGUGGAACUGCGAGUGUAGAGGU
rnacentral:rRNA from 1 species